rnacentral:lncRNA from 10 species
GGAAAUGAAAGGAGGGUUUGAAAUACUUGUGUAGACAAUCUUCAUUCCUUCUUCAGAACAAUCAUCAGGACCAAAACAAUCUGACCACAAAAACAAAUCAGAUCAACAUUGCCACAUCUUUGGAGGAACUUCAAAGAAACUUUCCCUUACCUGUUACCAUCAGCUGGAAAGGCUGCAGGGCCUCCCAACAAACCAUGUCUGACUUGGGGAAUAAAUUAAAAAGACAUUAUUUCUGAGUCAUGGCUUCUGAGUUCUGGCGCCUCUAAGGAAGUAAUUAAGAUUCUACAAGACAGGAAGAGAAACUGAAAUUGACCAUGCUGGCACCUUGAGCUUGGACUGCAGCCUCCAAAACUUAAAUCUUGCUGCUGCCCACUCUGGGUUUGCACUGCCUUUAUGAGCCAUAACACCCACCGCGAGGAUCUGCUGCUUCAUUCCUGAAGUCAGCAAGAUCACAAACGCACCUGGCAGAACAAACAACUCCUGACAGGCCACCUUUAAGAGCUGUAACACUCACUGUGAAGGUCUGCAGGUUCUCUCCUGAAGUCAGCAAGACCACGCACCCACCGGAAGGAAGAAACUCCGGACACAUUUGAACAUCUGAAGUAACAAACUGCAGACGCACCAUCUUUAAGAGCUGUAACACUCACCGCGAAGGUCCAUGGCUUCGUUCUUGAAGUUGGGAAGACCAAGAACCAACCGGAAAGAAUAAAUUCCAGACACAAUACUGUUAGACUUCAUUGUCCUCCUGUUAAACAUAAAAAUUUCACAGAGCGUUAUCAAACAAGGCUAUUCUGACCUCAUGGAUCACGACAAAAACAAGUUCACUUAAUCCUGUCCAAAUACAGGCAAAAGCAUAAACAUUGUCCAAACCACAAAAAUUGCUAAAUACCACCCUACCCUAACUGAUAUGAAGGACUGUUGCUACUUUACCAGUUAGAGGUUGAGCUUUCCUUCAUUCCUCACACCUUAUAGAAAAGAUUGGUU